rnacentral:rRNA from 1 species
CGGACGGGUGAGUAAUGUAUAGGAACUUGCCUAGUAGUGGGGGACAACGCGCGGAAACGCACGCUAAUACCGCAUACGCUCUACGGAGGAAAGGCGGGGCUCUCGGACCUCGUGCUACUAGAUAGGCCUAUAUUGGAUUAGCUAGUUGGUAAGGUAAAGGCUUACCAAGGCGACGAUCCAUAGCUGGUUUGAGAGAAUGAUCAGCCACACUGGGACUGAGACACGGCCCAG